rnacentral:rRNA from 1 species
GCUGGUUGAUCCUGCCAGAGGCGACCGCUAUUGGAGUUCGAUUAAGCCAUGCGAGUCGAGAGUCUUAGGGACUCGGCAUACUGCUCAGUAACACGUGGAUAACCUGCCCUGUACUGGAGGAUAACCUCGGGAAACUGAGAAUAAUACUCCAUAGACCACAAUGCCUGGAGCGGUUUGUGGUUCAAAGCUCCGGCGGUACAGGAUGGGUCUGCGGCGUAUCAGGUUGUAGGGGGUGUAAAGGACCUCCUAGCCAUUGACGCGUACGGGUUGUGGGAGCAAUAGCCCGGAGAUGGAUUCUGAGACACGAAUCCAGACCCUACGGGGUGCAGCAGGCGCGAAAACUUCACACUGCGGGAAACCGUGAUGAGGGAACUCCAAGUGUUAGCACAAUGUGCUAUCUUUUCUUGACUUUUAAUAGGUCUUGGAAUAAGGGGCGGGAAAGACCGGUGCCAGCCGCCGCGGUAAUACCGGCGCCUCAAGUGGUCGUCGCUUUUAUUGGGCCUAAAACGUCCGUAGCCUGUUUGGUAAACCCGUGGGUAAAUCAACGAGCUCAACUCAUUGACUUCUGCGGAGACUGCCAGACUAGGGACCGGGAGAGGUGUAGGG